UUGAAGUGUUAAAAUCCACGGCGUAAGAGCAAAGGGAAGGAAAUGUUCACCAAGGAUGAGAUAGCUGGCAGAGAUUCUACCUCCGCAGCCACUUUUCUCUCUGUGGAAAGAACCGGCCUUACAGCAUCAGCAUACAAACACCUCGCUAUUCAAUUAAAUUAAGGCCAGCUCGACACUAAAUCCAUGUGGCAGAGGCUGCCCACAUGACAAUUAGACUGUCCAACAGACAGAGGAAGAGGGAGGGACGAGAUAGUGGAGCAAUGCAGGCGGUGUUGGUAUAAAGGGAUGGCGCGGCGUUCACCUGAAUGCGCCGAUGUGUGACCACACGUGUCUGAGCCAAUGAGAGCACACAGGACGUUGUGAUGAAGAUUGACUUGUUGAGUAAUGAAAAGCCACAGCAGCCCUCCUCUGAGAGACAGAGCGAAGGAGAGGAACGAGAGAGCGAAGUAAUGAAGUAAUGAAGGAGAAAACGGCUCAAAGGCUC
ensembl:lncRNA